UACACUUGGUAGUUCUUUAUUAAUUAAUACAAUACACAAUGUGAACAUAGAAAUGGUGUGUAGUCAUCACUACAACAAAGUACUGUGUCCCAAAUGGCAUCCGACUAUCUAUAUAGUGUACAACUUUAGGCCAGGAUGCAUAGGGCUCUGGUCUAAAGUAGUGCACUGCAUAGGGAAUAGGGUGCCAUUGGGGACGCAAAAUGAACCGUACCGAUAGUUUCUCCCCCAGCUACGACACCUACAGUAUAGAAAAUAAUUUGUGAGCACAAUAAAUGAUCAUCCCAAUAGCCAUCAUGAAGACAAUUCACCCCCAAAACACAAUAUAAAAACACCCUACAAAAAACUGAUGAAUCAUAAAAAAAUAACAUCUCUUUUCUAACGUAUUGGACUGUCAAAGAGCACAAGAGCAUUGCUGAAAAAUACUUUCUGCAGAUAAAAGACAAAGUUUGGAAGAGGGAAGGUUCACCUCAGCAGUGAAGAAUAGGUCAACAUGGUACUGUAGUCCAGUCUAUGAAUGGCACAGUUCUGUAUCGGACUCAACACACUUGGUUUUUAGAUACUUAAGGAGAACGAUGAAGAGAGAGAGAGAGCGCCGUACUGUAUAUACAGGAGAGAGAGAGAGAGAGAGAGAGAGCCAUACUGUAUAUACAGGAGAGAGAGAGAGCGCCAUACUGUAUAUACAGGAGAGAGAGAGGCUGUAUAGUCUAUCCUCACAACCUGCCUGGCACCCUAUUCCCUAUGGACCCUAUGCCCCCUGGUCAGAAGUAGUGCACUAUGAAGGGAAUAGACUGCCAUCUGGGACACUCAGAGAGAUGGAAUGAUUUUCUGAGGACGCGGACAUCCUACCACUGUGACUGGUUUGUUUCAGCAUGGUCAGUUCAUCUUGUAGUUUCCUCCUCUUAUCAGUAGUGCACUAUGAAGGGAAUAGGGUGCCAUCUGGGACACAGGCUAUGAACCCUUUUCCAUCCAAACCACUAUGUUACAAUAAGGAUUAUCAGAUUUUAUACCUGGUACAUUCUGGUGUCAUCCUGUAAGCACCGUUUUAUUGAGAAUUUGGCAUGAAAAAGAAUGUUGUCUCUAGCUCCGCUCUCAUCCCUUUCUGCCCCCCGUAUCGGUCCCCCUCCUCUCUCCACAACAAACAUCAUUUCCCCUCACAGCCGAAUGUCCCGGUGGUACAGUCUCUUCGCCGGUAUGAAUAUGUUUCCACCUACUCCCUGCGUGAUCUUCCAGUUCUCAAAAGGCCACUUGGUGGCUUGAACAAUGUGUUCGUGUUUGUGCAUACAUACUGCCUGUUGGGCCUAGCCUACUGCCUGUUCCCUCUCCAGCUGGAGCUCUGCAUAAACAGCAGCAGGACAGGGUCAUGUUCAUUAGGGCACACUGUUUCAAGAUGUUUUACAACAGAAAAGGAAAACAAGUAUUAUUGCACAAGGACGUGAAUUACAGGAUAUGCUUCACAUGCCUUCCUGCUUGGCUCCAGGGUGCUGAUUCUAUUGGCUCUAAGGCACAGGGCGGGUCCAGGGUGCUGAUUCUAUUGGCUCUAAGGCACAGGGUGGGUCCAGGGUGUGUCUGUUUUUUGUAACAUGGCUGGAUCCCAGGUGAUCCACCCAUGGGAGAGUGGCAUACCAGUCCUAUUGUUCACAGCUCUCUGUACAGCUACCAUGGGAAUGAGAGCAGGUCUGACCUCAUGGAGUCGCAGCUCUGUGAGAGAGAGGAGGUAUGGAGGACAAUGAGUUCUGUCCCUGAUACACUGAUUACUACUUCACUGUGUUAGGAAUGUUGAUUACAUCAUUUACAUUACACAUUUAGUCUUUAUUCAUUAAUGUUGAUUAAUGCGUUAUAGUAUGCCAUGAAACAUUGUAUACCUGUCUGCUUAGUGCCAACUUGUGUCAAUUUGCUCUAAUAUCAUAACAUGAAAUUACUAAUUCUGUCUUCGAUGACGCAUUAACAUACAGUAUAAAACAGACGAUAUGUUCCAAUGUUCAUACUAGCAUACCUUUUAGAACGCAUGGCCAGGUAUUAUCCUAGUGUGGACACUGCUGGUGUUCAGAAUGCAUGGCCAGGUAUUAUCCUAGUGUGGACACUGGGACACAGCUGGUGUUCAGAACACAUGGCCAGGUAUUAUCCUAGUGUGGACACUGGGACACAGCUGGUGUUCAGAACACAAGGCCAGAUAUUAUCCUAGUGUGGACACUGCUGGCGUUCAGAACGCAUGGCCAGGUAUUAUCCUAGUGUGGACACUGGGACACAGCUGGUGUUCAGAACACAUGGCCAGAUAUUAUCCUAGUGUGGACACUGGGACACAGCUGGUGUUCAGAACACAUGGCCAGAUAUUAUCCUAGUGUGGACACUGCUGGCGUUCAGAACGCAUGGCCAGGUAUUAUCCUAGUGUGGACACUGGGACACAGCUUGUGUUUUGGCAUCCUUAUUACCCCUGAGGUUGUCAGCUCU
rnacentral:lncRNA from 1 species